UCAACUUUUCACCUAUAGCACUGAGAGGAAUUAUAUUUUCCUUCUUUGUAAUGGAAUUCUUGUUUUUAUAAUCAAGAAUUCAGGGCUAAUUGGUAAUAUUUCUGACCUUAAAGAAAGUCACAAGGAGAAAUCCAGAGAAUAUCAAAAUCCAGUUGUUUCGGAAACAAAGACGGAAAAGGAUAGUUCGGUGCUCAAAGCAUCGCGAGUUCAAACAAAGGCAGAAAAAGUUUUCGAAAAAGUUGUUGAAAUUGAAAACCAAUGUGGAGAAGAAGAAGAAGAAAAAGAAGAAGGAAUAAUGAAUCAGGAUUUGGUUAUUGUUGGAAUAGCUAAUGAGAAUGAAGAUGAAGCUUAUAAUCAAGAAAAUAAUGUUGAAAUUAUUGAAGAAGAUGAAGAAGAAGAAGAAUUAGAAGAAACAUUAGAAGAGUUGCACAAGAAGUGUGAAGAUUUUAUAAAGAGAAUUAAGAAAGAGAUUAAUAUGACGAAUUGAUGCUGCAAAAUUAAUAAUCAAGGAUUAGUAUCUAUAACAAAUAAUAUAACCAUGUAUUUACUAGUUCUGCCUCAAGUUCACUUGAUUUGCUUCACCUUUUCUUUUUCUUUAUCUGUAUGACAUUUUUGUAAUAGAACCCCCACCCCCACCUCGCAGUUCCAUCUUUUUGGAUACUAUCUUUUUGGAUACUACCUCCGUUCCGGUUGACGUGAACAUAUUUUCUUUUUGGUCCGUUCAAAAAAGAAUGAUCCUUUUCUAAAUUUAGAAAUAAAUUUGCUUAAACUUACAAUUUUACCCUUAAUGAGAAGCUUUUAUAACCACACAAAUGCUCUGAACCCCUUUUUGAAUUGUUUAGGACCACAAAUUUCAAAAGUCGUUUUAUUUUUUCUUAAACUCCAUACUCAAUCAAACAUGUUCACACAAAUUGGAACAGAAGGAGUAUAAUUUUUAAAGGUAUUGAAGCAUACGACAAAAAAAAAAACAUUUCGACAGAAAAUUUGUUUCGAUUUUAUUAUUAUCUUGUUGUUAUUACUGUUUUCUUUUCUUCUUUAUUACUGUGAUUCUGCUUGUUUUAGUCGAGAAAUUAUCGAAAACAAUCUUUCUAUCUGCAGACUUCACUUGUGGAAUUACACUAAAUAUGUUAUUAUUAUUGUACCGGAAAAAAAAGGAUGAACUAUUUUUGAA
rnacentral:lncRNA from 1 species